ACGAACGCUGGCGGCGUGCUUAACACCUGCAAGUCGAACGGAAAGGCCCUGCUUUUGUGGGGUGCUCGAGUGGCGAACGGGUGAGUAACACGUGAGUAACCUGCCCUUGACUUUGGGAUAACUUCAGGAAACUGGGGCUAAUACCGGAUAGGAGCUCCUGCUGCAUGGUGGGGGUUGGAAAGUUUCGGCGGUUGGGAUGGACUCGCGGCUUAUCAGCUUGUUGGUGGGGUAGUGGCUUACCAAGGCUUUGACGGGUAGCCGGCCUGAGAGGGUGACCGGCAAAAUGGGAACGGGGAUACGGCCAGGACUCUUACGGGGGGAAGCGGGGGGGAAAAUUGCACAAUGGGCGGAGGCCUGAUGCAGCAACGCGGGGUGGGGGAUGACGGCCUUCGGGUGGUAAACCGCUUCGCCUGUGACGAAGCGUGAGUGACGGUAAUGGGUAAAGAAGCACCGGCUAACUACGUG
rnacentral:rRNA from 1 species